AGAGAUGAUGAUUGCACUGGGCUCUGAGCAGCUAAGUUGCUGCAAAUUUUGAUGGACAAUGCAGCCUAGAAAGCUAUUUCUGAUCU